rnacentral:piRNA from 1 species
UCCAAGGACAUUGUCUACUUAAUAUG